CAUCAUGAAUUCACCAACCAGUCCAAUGGCUUUGUUCCCAGUUAUCAUUCUCUUGAUGCUUUUCCUUUCUGGAAAGGCUAAUGAUGUUUUCUUGAGUUUUAACCACCAAGAAAUUGGCAAGAAUUUUGCCGAUCAUCUCUACAAAGACCUCAAUUAUGCUGGGAUUCGCACUUUUAGAGACGAUGGUGGAAUUUACACAGGACAAAAGUCUGAUGUCAAGAGAGCGAUACAGGAAUCCAGGAUAUCGGUUGUUGUGUUUUCUAAAGACUAUGCUUCUUCAACAAAGUGCCUGGACCAGCUUGGGCUCAUCAUGGAUGCUAGGAGAACAACUGGGCUCGUUGUGCUUCCCGUUUUUUACAACGCUGAUCCGUCGGAGGUCUGGGAACAGAAAGGGUUGUUUGAAGAAGCAUUUGCUAAACACGAAAAAAGCUUCCAUAAGGAGAUGGCUAGAGUGGAAAGUUGGAGGGCCGCUCUUAAAGAAGCUGCAGACCUGAAAGGAAAGGAGCGGAAACAAGACAGGUAUAUAACUAAUUCCUUUCCAAGCUGUUACGUGUUCAUCAAAGUCCAGAGAAUACAGGCUUAGAGAGCUUUUUUUCUUUUUUAACAGAACAAUUAACAUCGCUAAUUCGAACAGGAAGAAUUCCAUUUGUAGGGAACAAAUUAAAAAACUGAAGGUUUUUAUACAUACAUGAAUGGUAAAGGUUAAACGUAGAACAAUUAUAUUAGAGUAAUUGAAUUUCACUUUCCAAUUUCUUAAAGACUUUAAUUUCUUCUUUUUUCCUUAAAAAUUUAUUACAUCGAUAGCUUAUAUUUUUGAAUCAGCUAAGCAUUUAGGAAUACUUAAUUUGACCUUGAUCAUUCCAUACUUGAACAUCACUGUUGAGCCACAUAGCUAGGGGGUUUUUUUUCGUGCUAGUUAACAUGUGAGAAGACAUUCAAUUACCUGGAAUCGUGAUUGCACGAGACUAAUGUAGCCAACUAUCCCAGGGGAAAAGAGUUUGACGAGAAUGAAAGAAAUCUUGCAACUUGCUAGAGAAAUGAAGACAUUGAAGGGAUGUUGUUGGACAUUUCAAAAAUUAGUUUUGAAAGUAAAUUAAAUUGCAGAGUCUUUGCAAGGAAAUCCAAACUUAGAUUGCUCAAGAUUUAUAAUUCUGGAGUUAAAAAUAAGUGUAAAGUGCACCUUCCUCAUGGCUGGCGUCAACUUCCUUUCUUAGGAGAUGAGAUAUCUGCGUUGGGAUGAAUAAUUGUUUUGACCUGAGAUGUUUGCAUUCCAGUUUUUGUCUGGAGAAAUUUAAACUAGCUAUUAUCUAGAAACGAAACAAGAAUCUUAUCGAUUUAAAAUAUGCCAGCCUUAGCAAUUGUGAGACCCUUUCCAUGCCAGAUUUUCUCAAACGCUAGAAAUUAACCUUGAGAGAUUGAAUCUUCAAUUUUGUUGUACAAGUUUAAUAUGGUCAAGGUUACUUCACCGAUUCAAUAUCGGGACAAGCUUAUUGAUUUGGAUCCAAGAAACUGCACAUGCCUUAUCUCUCUUCCGAGUAGAUUUUGUUAAAGAUUUCCCAUCUCUUAACCUUUCUAGUUGUUCAAAUGUCAAUAAACAGCAUGCAGUUGGUACCAACAUAUUGAUCAAAACGAUGCCUUAACUUCAAUUGCCAUGGUGCUAGACUGCUAGUAAUCUUAGUUAACUGUCUGUUUUAUGUCCAGAACCUGUGGCUGUGUUUGGUAUGACGGAUAGAGAAAGGGUGUUUUGAUAACCCUUUUCUUUUCGUGAAGCAAAAACAUUGAAGACAUUCUAGAAAUGCCAAAAAAUAAACGAAAGAAACCUAACUCUGCCUUGAUUUCAUUACUGAAGCUUUAAUCACUAGCGUUUCUGUGUCUUUUUCAAAGAAAGAAAAAAAAGGUGUUCUGCACAAGUGCACUGGUCGAUGUAGAACUCUCUCUCCUAAGCCAUUUGAAGUAGCGAUGAGCCAGUGAAUCAAUUGCUACUGCAGUAUUGUAUCUCCAUUCAUUAGGCAUAUUCGAAACACAUGCAUGGAAUUCUUCUUGCUUGCUUCAGCAUCUCUAAAUUACUGAUAUUGUAUGACUCGUUUAUCCAUAUUUAACUAUCAUGGCCAUUCAGCUUACAAGUUAUUUAAACAAUAACGGGAUCUGAGGAUGAUAAACAAGGGCUGGUUCGUUAACCAGCCUCAAUUCAAAUGUAAUUAUUUUUGUUUUUCAUGUUCUUUUUGAAAAGACCGACCAAGCACAUUUCAAUCCUGCUCUUAGGAUUGUGCAUUGAAAAUUUCUGAUGGUAUCACCUCAUGCUGGACAUUUAAUCAUCAUCAUAUAUAGUCUGGUUAAGUUGGCACAAGGACAGCGAUUAAACUAGAACAAACUGAAACAACAGCUAAAAAAUGACUUUCAAGUUUCAAGCUAGAGAACGCCUUUAAAUCCCCCACGACAGCAUCCAUGAACUCUCAUUUUUGUUUACCCUGUAUUUAGUUAAAAAAAGAUGAUUCAUGGAAACGUAGGUCAUCUUUUUAUCACUCGGGCUAUCUACAAAGCAUUCUCUGAAGAACUUAAUUUGUUCACAAUUUGAUUUGUUCUUGGUUCGAGCUGCCUUGAUCAUCAUGUUAAAAGGUUAGACAUAGGGAUGGAUAUCUCUGAGAUGUUUGCCUUGUAAUUAAAUUUUGAUCGGAACCCUUUUUGAGCCUGAACUUGAGCUAUCAUCUAGCAAGGUUAAGCAAGUCUGGCAAGGAGACCAGAAUCUUGGCAGUUUAAAAAGGUCAACCGUAAUAAUUCUAGACCUGCAGAGGAUAGAAGAAACCUUGAGACUUGGAUUUUGUACAAGUUAAUUUGGUCGUGUUUCUUAAUUUGUCAAUUCAGCAUCCACCCAUUUGCAUCGAUGUAUUCCAAGCUGAAUUUUUUUGUAGUAUGUCUCUUCUUCUUCUUCUUCUUCUUCUUCUUCUUGUAUGUUGAUCUGAUGAGGAAUUAGGAAAUUAAUCCGUGAUUUAAUUUGUAUGAAUGUGUGUUUGCAGGUAUGAGUCAAAGUUCAUAGAGUCGAUUGUUAAAGAGAUCGCAGAUAAACUCAACUUCUCACUGCCUCACGCCCCUCCGUCCUCGUUACCACUGUCGUCGGCCCUCCGCCCACCUUCAUAUUUUCUUUGUCUUUUACGAGAGUGGAGGUCUUUCUUUCAGACCUCCUCUCUCUUUUUAUUUUUUUGACCUCCUCUCUUUUUUCUGUAGUUGUACUACAGAAAAAAGAGAGGAGACAAAAAAAAAUAAAAAGAGAGGAGGGGCGGUGGGGGUAAAGCAGAAGUGUGAAUCAAUAGGAACUAAGCACGUGGAUACCUGUCGGCUGAUGAGAACGAAAGGCUGAAAAGAAAGGUCCCACAGCGCACCGACUUUGUCAAAGCAUAGAUGGAUGAAUUAAUUAAAGGAUUGUACUUCAAUGAAUGCUUCUCUCUCUCCUUUUUGUUUUUUUUGACAAUUUGUAUCUUUGGAUCGAUCCUUAUGACAGUUAACUUUUUCAAGAAUUUUCAGCUCAAAAUGAGAUGAUCAGAUGCAUAAUUAAGUCUAAGUGAUCUUUUGACAUAUGACUGCUACAAGUAAGUGCAUGCUUAGGGUUCUUCUCAAUUAUAUUCUUGCUAAAUUUUUAAUUUGUUUUUUAACACUUGAGAAUAACAAUACAAAAGAAAAAAGUUUUUCGAAGUAUGAAUCUUAAAACUGAAAAAAAGUAUAUCAAUGAAAAAACAAGCUUUUUUAAUCAACAAACUUACCAUUGAUUUUAUAAAUACCGCGCAUACAACAAUAGAAAAAAAUUCAUAACAUAAGAUGUGCAAUCAAAGAUUAAUUAAUGUAAAAGUCAUGAUUAGGAUUAUAAGUUAAUUUUCAAUGCUUGAAAAGGUGUGUAUUUUCGGGUGUCAUGAUUUUCUAACAUAGAAAUGAAAAUAUAUUGUUUGUGUUUAAUAAAAUAAAUUAAAAAAAUAUAUGAACCAACAAAUAAAAAAUAAUUAUUAAAGUUAAUUAAAUAUUAAAGUGAAAAGCUGAUAAUUCUAGUAGAGUAAAAAUUAAAUACAGAUAUAAAUAUUUAACCCUGAUUGUCCUUUGUAUUUUAUAUAUUUUUAUUUAUUAUAUAUUAAAAGUUGAUUCUAGCAGUUAAGGAUAAUUUUUUUUUUAAAAAAAUACAUCACAUAAAUAUAAUUUAUUUAUAUAAACUAUAAAAUGAAAAAAAAAUUACAAUUAUCUCCUUAAAGCAUUAUAAAUAUUUUUUAAAAAAACUGUUAAAAAUAUGAAAAAGGUUAACCAAACAAUUUUAAAAAAAAUAAGAGAUAAAGUAUUCAUUAAAAUUUAAAUAGAAGCAUUAAUUAAAAGUUAAAAAAUGAGUUCAGUAUACUGCUAGGACCUUAUAGUCUAGGUCCAUGCAUUUUAUUUUUUUUGGUUUUAGAUGGUGUCAUUUGCUCCAAUUAUUUUCUUGAGAGGGUGAAAUUGGGAUUAAAAAAUUUCAAUGACGAGAAUGCAAGAAACAAAAUGGGUUUCACACUGUUCAUAUACUAAAACAAAAUGGGAUUUCACUGUAUAUGAACUGAACAGUGAAAUCCCAUUUUGUUUUAGCAUAUGCAACAAUAAUUUCUAUUAUCAUCAUGUCCAAUUCAACUUCAAGCAUUGAUGCACUUUUCCUGUUAGAAAUUAUCAACUCUGUCCCUUCAAGUAUGAUAAAAUGUUGCUUCAUGGUUUCUCACCAUCUCUGCAUAUUGGUUUGUGCUAAACAUAACAUGGUACAGAGUGAGAGAAGAACAAUUAUCAAUAUUAAAAGAUUGCAUAUCAAAUCUCCACACUGGAAACCACUUGCUCACAACAUUUGUGAUCCCUGCAGCUUCAAUGGCAUGAUUGAUCUUGGGAACAGUUGGCUUAUUAUCAACAAAAUGAGAGCUAAGCAAUGCAUCUUCGAAACAAGAAAUUUACACAAAAGAAAAACAUUUCAGCUGAUAAACACAUAUAAAGAUCUUUUCCAAGAAAGCUUACUAUCAAAAAUCUGAAAAAAAGCAUAAUGUUGGAUUAUCAAUCAAUGAAGUUCCAUAGAGAACAAUUGCAGCAAAUCCCCCUUGCAAUGAUAUGAGAAACAAAUAACAUUCUUCAAGUUUCAACAGGUUUUACUGCAAGAGAUUGAAGGCAAUGCAAGAAGCCUGUGUACACAGAUACAAAAUCCAUUCACAAAAAAUCUUUCAUCGUGCAUGGAUAAGCCAUCAACGAAGCUAUAAACAGUAUUGGCAUCUUGGAAAGAUACAGAGAUACCAACCACCUGUUAUGAAACCCAACCUAUAGAAACAUUUUUCUUAAAAACGAGAAAUGCAAGAAAUCUGAUAAAAAGAAUCCAAAUUCUCACUACAAGAAAUAUGAUUUGUGUGUGAGGAAAAGAAGUGAAACCUGGAAAGUUAAUGAUUUAGAGUGUAGAAACUUCUGAAAAAAUCAUUUCAUUUUACUAAUAUUUUCUUCAUUGUUAAAAAGUGCUUGUGGUGAUUGCUCUUGUAGAUAUUCGUGACUUGAAUGGAUCCAAGUUAUUCAUAUCAAGUCCUUGAAAUUUCUGGAGGUUUUAUAGCUUUUCGUUAUGUUUAUAAGGUGCUUCCUCGCUCCUAUUGUUCUCUCUUUUUCGCUAUGGAUUAACCCAACUUUUUUCAUCUUAUUCCACUAUGAAAUUUGUUUUUACUGCAGUUCAUCCUUUUGCAGUGUUACAUCUAUAUUCUCUUCUUCCAAGGCGACAUGGCAGCUCCCCUGUCAUGUCUUCCUGCUUUUAACUAUCACUCAAACUCCACAUGUAUUCGUGUACUGCAAGGAAAAGGCAUACCAAACCUUCAAAAUAAAAUAAAAUCUGGUGCAAGGACAAAAAAGAAUUCUGAGGCAAAACAUGCCAUUAACCCAUUUUUAAUGGGUUAAAAGCAUAAAUCCAUAAAUAGAAUCCCAACUUUUUUCUUCGAUAAAUGGUAUAUGAUAUCUUUACAAAUUUGCCACCAACAAUCCACAAAUACUUUGUUCAUAAGAAAACAGAACCAUUUUUCAUUCACUAACGAUUAGAGAGACAAGGUUUCAUGCAUUCCUGGAAUUGUUAAGGCCAAGCAUCUCAGGCUAGCUCUUGAAUUUCAAACAUGACCACAACAUGAUAUACAGUAAAUUGCAACUCAAUCAUCUUAGCUGAAUAAUCUGUAAUUGACUAACAUGCAUCUAAAGGGUAUAUGAAGUUGAAUUAGACCGCAUGCAAGCUCUAAUACCAGAAAUCCUGAAUAGCAACAUCAUUAGACUUAGAUACACAACCAACAUCAUUAAUCGACGCAGCUAACUAAUAGAAACAUGCUAGUAAAUUAAUCGCGCCACCAAUCUGAGAAAAUACAUUAAGGCUUAAUUGGAUGAUGGUAAGGAAUAGAUAGCGUGCAAGCUACAUGCAUUCUUGAGAGUAAGGGCUCGAACAAGGCUUAAGCAGAUGCUCCUAUAGAAAAUGCCAAAAAUGAAUUCAAUAAUUAGUUGCAAUUAAGAAAUCGAUUACUUCCUCUUCUUCAUUGAUUCAAGUAAUGCUUGAAAAUGUUGAAUCAUACCAGUGAACAUAAGCAACCACUUCCUCUGGUUAUGAGUGAUCACAUCACUCUAUAUAGCCAACUAAGACCCCCACAUCCUUCUAUUGUAUGGUUCACUACUCUUCAUCUUUCUUUACAAGAAACUUUUGCAAUAGGACUGUAUUCAACUAUAUCAAUUAUUAAUGUGCAAUAUACUCGAACAUUUCACCUUCCCUUUUCUUCUCAUACAAAUUAUGCAAUACCUCUGGUUAAAAUAGAAAAAAAUGUAUACCUCUGCGGUGAAUUCGAUAUUGUAAUAUCCGAUCCAAAUCUUUUCUAUUGUAUCUGAACUCGAGUAAUAUAUUGUUCAACUUGGACCAGCUCUGCGCAUCAUAUGGUUUAACUUAAAAUAAUCUUUACUCGGUUGGUUUAAUGCAAAGUAAUUUGAAAGAUAUUAAAAACUUCAAAUUGAGAUUAUUCAAAGGGAGGAUCCUAAAUGGAAGCCUUCUCUCUUAUCUGCCAUUUCUUAAAUUAAAUUCAAUGGCCGCUUCGGAUAUGAUCUCAAACUGAUUUGGAAUGGCUUUAUUAUUGCCAGUAAUAGUAGGCAAAUAACUCUGAGAUUGACUUGAUGCGUUGUCAACAUUUCCAUCUUGUCUAUUCCUUUUCAAAGGAUUCUAUAAUCUCUGCAAUGGUAACAUUAUUUUGUAGAGUAGAAUCUCCAGCUACAACCUUAUUGUUUUUGGACUGGUAGAAAACUCAGGAGGAACAGAACAGAUGUUCAUUUCCAUCAUAUCAGUACAACUUAGUGGUAACGUUUUCCCAACUAAGCAUUCCCAAAUUUAUUUCAAAACAAACCAAAAAUAGCAGCAACCUUCCCCGUCCUCUGCCUGCCAAGCUCUUGAAUCAGAAACUGUAUUUCCUUCUUGCAAAACAAAAUAACUUAAAAAGGGCAUCAAAAUCCAACCGUGAGACUGCCAUUGCCAACAUAAGAUCAAGCUGGCAUUUAAUGAGCCUCCAUACGUUAAGGAAAAACUUACCUGCAAAUUACAAAAAGCAUGUACCUAGUACAUCACAACAGGUUCUCUCCUUAUUACUAGUGUCUUUGACUGCUAAAUUUAUGAAGUACAUAUCAGAAUAGACCUUAAAUAGAUCCGAGUGACUAACCCGAACAAACUCAAAGCUAUGAGUUACAAUAUAUUUUUACUUUGAAGCAUGCUAGAGCUAUCUUAUGAUAUACAGAUACGGUAUAUGGUGUUAGUGAGAGAAUGUGAUUUGUGAGUGGUAUUUUUUGAAAAUAUCUCCGUGAGGUGAAAUAAAUGCUUUCUUCUACAUAAAUUAUAUUUUUCAAAUCAUAUUUUUUUAAUUAACUAGAAUUCCAAGUUGACCAGGGAAUUAUUGUCUGAUGACCAAUUUUAUAAUGGCUGCUAUAUUUAUCUUGUAAAUCCCAAAAAACAAAUUGUGCUAAUCAGGUAUUUAGAAAUAAAAUGGAUCCAAAUUGUAUAGAUACGAGGAUAUGUUUUUUUCAUUUUAUUUAGUUAGUGUUUUAUAACAGAAAAGAUAAAAAAUAUAUUUAAUUGAAAAAACAUGAAUAAAAAUAAAAAUAAAUCUACUCUAAGAUAAUUUUGAAAUAAAUUAUAUACUUUCAAAACAAAAAAUACAUAAAAAUAUGUCGCAUUUAUCCACUAUCUCCAUCUUUUCUAUUUUGAGACAGUAAUCAAAUACUACUACAAUUUAGACAUUGAGAAGUAAAGCUAGGGUUAGAUGAUUUAUAAUAUGUAGGAAGUUAAUAUUAAAAGUUUUAUUCAAAGAAUUGACAACACUACUACUAAGAUAUAGAAGAUAAUAGGUUAGUGUUUGAUUAUUGUCCCGGAACAAAAAAGAUAGAGACAAUGAUAAUAGAGGAAAGAAGAUAGAAUAAGAGAUAAAGAUAAAAUUAUAUUUGAUAGUAGCAUACAAGACUACCUUUAUAUCUUAUUUUGUUGAUUGUAAACAAGACAUAAUAAAAUAUAAAAACUCUAUUUUAUUUUUAAUAUGUAUUAUUGUCAAAUUACAUAUUUUUAAAAAAUAAUUAGAUAGUAUUAUAAUUUUUUUAGUUUAUAUUGAAAGUUGAAAUUAAUAAUAGAAUAAUAACUUUAGUUAUAUAACUUAGAUUGGCUCAGUGUGUUGAACUAGGACUCGGCUGACCCAAAGCCUAAACCAGUAUGAAUUUAAAAAAAAAAUAGAGGAAAGGUUAACCCAACUUGAUCGGGUUAAAACUCAAGUUGACCUAUGACUCGAGAUAAACCCAAGUAAAAAACCCUUGACUUUAUUUUGAAAAAAAAUAUUUGGUCAAAAUGACAUCGUUCUGAUCCUUUGUUUUAAAAUAUUAGGAUUAUUCUAGGUUGAUCUUCUCGAUUCAUGACCUGAUUCAACCACUAGGUCAAAUUUUAAAAUUAUAACAAUAAUUAUUUUUUAUUAUUAUAUAUUUUAGUUGGAUCAUUUUAGAAUUAAAAGUUUUUUCUAGUGGUAUUUUAAGAAUAAAAAAUAUUAUCUUUAAAGAUAUAUCUCCAUGUAUCUUUUAUUUGAAAAAUACAAAAAAUUAUUUUUAAAUUAUUUCAUAAUAUAUUUAUUAUCUAUGUUCUUUAAAUCAAACAUAUUUAAGACCAUCUGUUUCUUUAAUUUCUCUGACAGUAACCAAAUGCCACGGUAUUAUAAUUUUUUUUUUAUGUGAAUGGAAAGAACUACUAAUAACAGGAAGUACCUAUUUUCUAAAUAUUUCAAAAGCAUACAUUAUUUAAUUGCUUGAGGAAAUGUAUAUCAUUCGUAAAAGGGCUCAACCUCAACUUUAUUUAACUUGAACACAACGGAUUUCGGGCUGGAUGUUGAGCAAUAAAACCAAGCGAAGCCACACAGAGAGCCCAAACUAGCCCAAGUUACCGCAACCAAGCGUAGAUCACAUACAACCAAGCUUGUUCCAUAGACUAGGCAACCGAAAGUGUGAUGCUCUUAAAAAAAUUGUUGAAGAUAAAAAUGGUAUUAGAUAUUUAAUAUGCAACUAUAUAUUUUUUUUUAUAAUUGAAAAAUAUUAUUAUCUUUUUUUUUUGGUUAAAAGAAAGAAUUCCCUGAUUAAAUAAUAAAACAAUUUUUUUUAAAAAAAAGAUUUUGCAAAAAUAAUUUUAAAUAAGUUUAAUCGCAUAGAUUUUCUCAACCAUUUAAUUCUUAGUUUGUUUUCAGAUAAAAGUAUAUUAUCAUUUAUUUUUGUGCUUAUAACUGUAUUUGAUUAUAUUUUAAAAAUUUAUUUUGCUUGAAAAUAUAUUAAAUUAAUAUUUUUUAAUUAUUUUAAUAUAUUCAAAAAAAAUUAAAAAAAAAAUCAUGCAAUACAAUAACCCUCCAAAGUCAAAGAAAGUAAUAAAAAAAAAGAGAGAGAGAAACUUCCCGAGACCUUCAGCUCAAGACUUUCCCUUCCAUUCUACAGCCCUCUUUUUUCUCUUGCUUGAUGGAAUGGAGCACCAGGCAGCUAGGCACCACCCAACCAAGGAAAAUAAAAUAGAAAAAGCAUCUGACAGAAUAUCCAGUAUAAAAAAUAAAGAAAAGGAAACUUCCUGAGAACUUCGGCCAUACACUUUCCCUUCCAUUUUUGCAGUCGUUUUUCUCUUGCUUAGUUCUUCUACCUUUUGCUGGUUCACACACUUGAAGUUGAAGCUAAUCCUCCAAAGUCAAACGUUGCCUUUUCAGUGGCAAAUUCCACAACAGAAUUCGAUUUUCUUAUCCUCCUUUUUGAUCUUUCACGUAUUCUAUUCAUCAACCUUAUGGGUUUCUUCUCAUUCAUCCGUCGCUUGAUGCUUAUUCUCUUUGGCACGGCUAAUGAUCUUGUGUUCUUGAGCUUUAGCAAUGAAGAUACAGGAAAGAAUUUUAGUGAUCAUCUCAACUCAGCUCUCACCAUUGCAGGAUUUCGCACGUUUAAAAACGAUGAUGGCGUUCGAAGAGGAGAAAAUACCGGCUCAGAAACCAGAAAAGCAAUACAGGAAUCGAAGAUAUCUGUCAUUGUGUUUUCCAAGGACUAUGCUUCUUCAACACGGUGCCUCGACGAGCUCGUCAUGAUCAUGGAUGCCAGGAGAGCUACUGGGCACAUUGUGCUGCCCAUAUUUUACCAUUUGGAUCCAUCUGAAGUCAGGAGCCAGGAAGGGAGAUGUUUCGAAGCGUUUUCUACACACGAGAAAAGCUUCCAGGGUGAGAAGGGGAGGGUGGAAGAAUGGAGGGCAGCUCUUAGAGAAGCUGCAGAUGUGGCAGGGAUGGUUCUACAAGACAGGUACAUCACAUCCCUACUCUGUUUUCUCUUGAUUCUAGUACGUCACAUCCCUUCAAUGUUUUCUCUUGAAUAAGGCUAUCUAAUCAUAUGGUCAAAAACUCAGUACAAUCAAGAAAAAAAAUUGAAAUAAAGACAGCAUAUAUAACAACAAGAACAAAAUUUCAAUCCCAAACUGAUUGGGGAUGGAUCCUUUUGGCCAUUCAAACGUGCUCGUGAAUGUGAAGUAUAUCCGGGCUUUAGAAACAAAUUCAUAGACAUGCUGUCUUGCCAGAACACAGUAAUGUGAUUUCCUUAACUUGUAAAGUUGCUGUGUUGUGUUUAUCUUAUACGUAGUAGGCUGUAUUUGACACUUCUCCGAAACUGAUACGAGAAUAUUUUUCAAAUAGCCGUAGUUCCUAGCUGCUCCUUGCCUUCGGUUUUGUCAAAGAUAAAUUAGUAGUGGGGCCUUCCAUCAUGUCAAAAUAAAACCAAGACUUAUGGGCCUAAAAUGUGUCCUUUUUUUUCCUUCUAAAAGGAUUCUGGGCCGGGAAUGGAUCCUUAAUUUAGAAACCAAUGGUCCAUGAUAAUUUAUUCUCCUCUCGGUCUUCGUCUCUCUUGGUCUGCCAUAUCAACACCAUAAACCAGUAAAGUUCCAACUGCGUUGACUUGAGUCUAAAAAGUCAUCAAUUCACCAACCGAUUCCAAGAUUUCCCAUUUCACUGUUUUCCUCACAUUAAAUUUUUCAUCCAUUCUUCUCUCCAAAAUGCAUUACGAAGUGUUCUUGAGCUUUAGAGGCGAAAACACCCGUCGAAGUUUUACGGACCAUCUCUACACAGCUCUAUGUAGAGCAGAGAUUCGCGCUUUCAGAGACGACGAUGGGAUCCGGAGAGGAGAGAACAUUGAUUUAGAAAUCAAGAAAGCAAUUCAAGAAACAAAACUAUCCAUUAUUGUGUUUUCUAAAGACUACGCUUCUUCGAGAUGGUGUCUUGACGAGCUAGCGAUGAUCAUGGAACGUAGAAGAGCUGUUGGGCACAUAGUGUUUCCAGUUUUCUAUGAUGUUGAUCCAUCUGAGGUGGGGACCCAAACAGGGAGAUAUGGUGAAGCUUUUGCUAAGCAUCAGAUACGUUUCAAGGACCAGAUGGAGAGGGUGGAGGGGUGGAGGAAGGCUCUUAAAGAAGUUGCAUACAUGGAAGGAAUGGUCUUAGAAGACGGGUACUAACUUUUUUUUUUCUUCGAAAUUUAUUACAUCGAUAGCUUAUAUUUUUGAAUCAGCUAAGCAUUUAGGAAUACUUAAUUUGAGCUUGAUCAUUCCAUACUCGAACAUCUUGCCAUUUACUUGAAAAUGAAGACAUUCACUUACCUGGAACAGUGAUUGCCAACUAUCCUAGGGGAAAAGCGUUUGACGAGAAUGAAAGAAGUCUUGCAACUUACUAGAUAAAUGAAGACAUUGAAGGGAUGUUGUUGGACAUUUCAAAAAUUAGUUUUGAAAGUAAAUUAAAUUCCAGAGUCUUUGCAAGGAAAUCCAAACUUAGAUUGCUCAGGAUUUAUAACUCUGGAGUUAAAAAUAACUGAAAAGUGCACCUUCCUCAUGGCUGGCGUCAAGUUCCUUUCUUAGGAGAUGAGAUAUCUGCAUUGGGAUGAAUAAUUGUUUUGACCUUUGAGAUCUUUGCAUUCCUUUUUUUGUCUGGAGAAACGAAACAAGAAUCUUAUCGAUUUAAAAUAUGCCAGCCUCAGCAAUUGUGAGCGCCCUUCCAUGCCAGAUUUUUUCAAAGGCUAGAAAUUAACCUUGAGAGAUUGAAUUCUCAAUAUUGUUGUACAAGUUUUAUAUGGUCCAAGGUUAUUUCACCGAUUCAAUAUCGAGACAAGCUUAUUGAUUUGGAUCCGAAAAACUGCACAAGCCUUAUCUCUCUUCCGAGUAGAAUUUGUUCAAGAUUUCCCAUCUCUUAACCUUUCUAGUUGUUCACAUAUCAAUAAGAAAGCAUGCAAUUGGCACCAAUAUUUAAACAAGCUAUUGAGAACGAUGAUAUUUGACCAGAAAUUCGAAGGAAACUGCUUUUUUGUUUUGUUUCCGAUUUGCUUAGGAGUCUCAACUUCAAUUGUCACGGUGCUAGACUGCUAGUAAUCUCAGAUAACUGUCUGUUUUACGUCCAGUGCCCUGUGGUUGUGUUUGAUAUGGUGUAUAGGGAAGGGAUGUUUUGAUAACCCUUUUCUUUUCGUGAAGCAAAAAGCCAUUCUAGAAAUGCCAAAAAAUUAACAAAAGAAACCUAACUCUGCCUUGAUUUCAUUACUGAAGCUUUAAUCACUAGCGUUUCUGUGUCUUCUUCAAAGAAAGAAAGAAAAGGUGUUCUGCAUAAGUGCACUGGUCGAUUUAGAACUCUCUCUCCUAAGCCAUUUGAAGUAGCGAUGAGCCUGUGAAUCAAUUGCUACCGCAGUAUUGUCUCUCCAUUCGUUAGGCAUCUUCGAAACACGUGCAUGGAAUUCUUCUUGCUUGCUUCAGCAUCUCUAAAUUACUGAUAUUGUAUGACUUGUUUAUGCAUAUUUAACUAUCAUGGCCAUUCAGCUUACAAGUUAUUUAAACAGUAACGGGAUCUGAGGAUGAUAAACAAGGGCUGGUUCGUUAACUAGCCGCAAUUCAAAUGUAAUUAUUUUUGUUUUUCAUGUUCUUUUAGAAAAGACCGACCAAGCACAUUUCAAUCCUACUCUUAGGAUUGUGCAUUGAAAAUUUCUGAUGGUAUCACCUCAUGCUGGACAUUUAAUAUUCAUCAUAUAUAGUCUGCUUAAGUUGCACAAGGAAAGCCAUAAAACUAGAACAAGCUGAAACAACAGCUAAAAAAUGACUUUCAAGUUUCAAGCUAGAGAGCGCCUUUAAAUCCCCCACGACAGCAUCCAUGAACUCUCCUUUUUGUUUACCCUGUAUUUAGUUAAAAAAAGAUGAUUCAUGGAAACGUAGGUCAUCUUUUUAUCACUCGGGCUAUCUACAAAGCAUUCUCUGAAGAACUUAAUUUGUUCACAAUUUGAUUUGUUCUUGGUUCGAGCUGCCUUAAUCAUCAUGCUAAAAGGUUAUACAUAGGGAUGGAUAUCUCUGAGAUGUUUGCCUUGUAAUUAAAUUUUGAUCGGAACCCUUUUUGAGCCUGAACUUGAGCUAUCAUCUAGCAAGGUUACGCUAGUCUGGGAAGGAGACCAGAAUCUUGGCAGUUUUAAAAGGUCAACCGUAGCAAUUCUAGACCUGCAGAGGAUAGAAGAAACCUUGAGACUUGGAUUUUGUACAAGUUAAUUUGGUGGUGUUUCUUAAUUUGUCAAUUCAGCAUCCACCCAUUUGCAUCGAUGUAUUCCAAGCUGAAUUUUUUUGUAGUAUGUCUCUUCUUCUUCUUCUUCUUCUUCUUGUUCUUGUAUGUUGAUCUGAUGAGGAAUUAGGAAAUUAAUCCGUGAUUUAAUUUGUAUGAAUGUGUGUUUGCAGGUAUGAGUCAAAGUUCAUAGAGUCGAUUGUUAAAGAGAUCGCAGAUAAACUCAACUUCUCACUGCCUCACGCCCCUCCGUCCUCGUUACCACUGUCGGCGGCCCUCCGCCCACCUUCAUAUUUUCUUGGUCUUUUACGAGAGUGGAGGAGGUCUUUCUUUCAGACCCCCUCUCUCUUUUUAUUUUUUUUGUCUUCUUGUUAUGCUUUGUCUUCUUGUAGCAUACGAGAGUGGAGGAGGUCUUUCUUUCAGACCCCCUCUCUCUUUUUAUUUUUUUUGUCUUCUUGUUAUGCUUUGUCUUCUUGUUAUGCUGUGUCUUCUUAACUUAUUAAGAAGACAAAAAAAAUAAAAAGAGAGACGGAGGAUGUAGGGGUAUAGCAGAAGUGUGAAACAAUAGGAACUAAGCACGUGGAUAUCUGUCGGCUGAUGAGAACGAAGGCUGACAGCAUCUGGGACAGCUCACCAACUUUGUCAAAGCAUGGAUUGAUGAAUUAAUUAAAGGAUUGUACUUCAAUGAAUGCUUCUCUCUCUCUGUUUUUUUACUAUUUGUAUGUUUAGAUCCAUCCUUAUGACUGUUACUGAAAAUAAUCAAAAACUUUUUCACGAAUUUUCAGCUCAAAUGAGAUGAUGCAUAAUCAAAGUCUAAGUGAUCUUUUGACGGCUACAAGUAAGUGCAUGCUUAGGGUUCUUCUCAACUAUAUUCUUGCUAAAUUUUUAAAUUGUUUUUUAACACUACGAAAGAAUAACAAUACAAAAGAAUAUAAAAUAUUUCCAAGUAUGAAUCUUAAAACUGAAAAAACAAACUGUUAUAAUCAACGAACGUACCAUUGAUUCUAUAAAUGCCACGCACGCAAACCACAGUAGAAAAAAAACUAUGACAUGAUUUGCAAUCAAAGAUUAAUUAAUUUCCAAGUAUGAAUCUUAAAACUGAAAAAAAGUAUAUCAAUGAAAAAACAUGCUUUUUUAAUCAACAAACUUACCAUUGAUUUUAUAAAUGCCACGCAAACUACAGUAGAAAAAAAUUCAUAACAUAAGAUGUGCAAUCAAAGAUUAGUUAAUGUGUGUAUUUUCAUGGCUUAAUUUUAGAAACUUGUGUGUAUUUUCAAGAUUAGGAUUAUAAGUUAAUUUUCAAUGCUUGAAAAAGUGUGUAUUUUCGGGUGUCAUGAUUUUCUAACAUAGAAAUGAAAAUAUAUUGUUUGUGUUUAAUAAAACAAAUUAAAAAAUAUAUGAACCAACAAAUAAAAAAUAAUUAACGCUAAUUAAAUAUUAAAGUGAAAAGCUAAUAAUUCUAAGUAGAGUAAAAAUUAAAUACACAUGUAAAUAUUUAUCCCUGAUUGUCCUUUGUAUUUUAUAUAUUUUUUUUAUUAUAUAUUAAAAGUUGAUUCUAGCAGUUAAGGAUAAUUUUUUUUAAAAAAAAAUACAUUACAUAAAUAUAAUUUAUUUAUAUAAACUAUAAAAUGAAAAAAAAUAAAUUACAAUUAUCUCCUUAAAGCAGAUGUCAAUAUUAUAAAUAUAUUUUAAGGUAUCCUGAUUUUUUAACAUAGAAAUAAAAAAAUAUUAUUUACAUUUAAUAAAAUAAAUUUAAAAAAUAUAGAAACCAACAAAUCAAAAAAUAAUUAUUAAUGCUAAUUAAAUACUAAAAUGAAGAGCUAACAUUUCUAGCAAAGUAAAAGAUAAAUGAACAUGCAAACAUUUAACCCCGACUACUCUUUCUAUUUUCUAAUUUUUUAUUUAUUAUAUAUUAGAAGUUGAUUCUAGCAACUAAGGACAAUUUAUUUUUAUUUUUAUAAAUAUGUCACAUAAAUAUAAUUUAUUUAUAUAAAAUGAAAAAUGAAAAAAAUAAAUAUAAAUUACAAUAAUCUCUUUGAAGCAUUAUAAAAUUAAAAAAAUUAAUUUAAAAAAAUUAAUUACUAUUAAAAAAGGUUAACCAAACAAUUUUAAAAUAUAAUAGAUAAGAUAUUCAUUAAAAUUUAAAUAAAAACAUUAAUUAAAAGUAAAAAAAAAAGCUGAGGUCAGGCCACAUAUCUGGCUAGAACCUUAUAGCUCCACACACCUUUUUUUUUUUUGUUUUAACAGUGUCAUAUGCUCUAAUUAUUUUUUUAUAAAGGGAUGAUAGGUCGUUUUCCUCUAGAUCAGUUUCUGGUUACUUCUAGUAAUUAAAAUAUUAAAGUUUGAGUUGUGAAAUUUUAAAAACCUAUUUCUCAAUAUUUUUUUACCUGAAAAUAUCCUAAAAGCAUUUAAAAAUCAACUUUUAAUCUUAAAACAAUCUUUAAUCUCCUUAAAAAAUAAAAAUUAAACAAAUAAAAAACAUCAAACCUUUUUAUAAAAAACCUCAAGACCAGAACUUUUCCAAAAACAGCAAACCAAUUGACACUAAGAUAACUCUUUUUUGUGACUAAAAUGUUCACAUUCAGCUACUUUCUUUCUUUUUAAUUUUUUUUUUAGUGAUUUUCUCUAUCUUUUUUCAAUAUUCAGAAACUAAAAUAAAAACUAAAUUAAGUUUAAGAUCAAAAUUUAGAAUGCUAAAAUAACAAGGAUCAAACAAAGGGUUAAUUAAAAACUAUAAAGAACAUAUAUAAGUUUUCCAUUUCAAUAUCUAAAUGGGAUUUGUUUUUUUAAAAUUUAUUAUUAAAAAUUUAUUUUUAAUAUCAUUAAAUAAUAUUCAAAAUUAUCAAAACAAAUUUAACUUUUUAAAAAUUUAAUGUUUUUUAAAAAUGCAUAAAACAAACAAGAUGAGCAUAAUUUACCACAUCACUGUUCAUAUGGGCUCAACUUUGUUGGGCCAUGAGCUUAGUAGUAUAUAAUUUCUUCCAACAGUAACGACAUCUGGUAAGAAGUUCUAAGCGCAGUUGAAGCGCGUGAUAUAUGUCCUCUCGAGUAACCCAAGGUGGAGGAGCAAAGGUAUUAGUUUUUGCUCAUUGCUCGUUCGCCAAUAUUCGUGCACUUGCAGCAUGUUUGAGACCAAUUUUCUAUUAAAAUUAAUUUCAUUUCUGGUAUUUAAAUUGCAUUCAAUGAGUUAAAAUCAUGUAUUUAAAAGAGAUAUAUUAUCAUUGAAUUUAUUUUAUUCUAUUUUCUACAAUACAUUUAUAGUAUUAUUAAUUAUCAAUACUCUUUCAUUUAUAGUAAUUAAAUUUCAACAGGUUUUAUCGCAAGAUAUUGAAGGCAAUGCAAGAAGCUUGUUUACGCAUACAAAAUCCAUUCAUAGUUUCUGAUAGAGAAAAAUCUGUCAUCAUGUAUGGAUAAGCCAUCAAAGAAGCUAUAAACAGUAUCAUCAUCUCGGAAAGAUACACAGAUACCAACCACCUGUUAUCAAGUCCAACCUAUAGAAUCAUUUUCCUUAAAAACGAGAAACACAAGAAAUCUGAUAAAAAAAUCCAAAUUUUCACAUCAAGAAAUAUGAUAUGUGUGCGUGAGGAAAAGAAAUAAAACCAAGAAAACUAAUGAUCUGAGUGUAGAAACUUUUGAAACAAUCAUUUCAUUUUACUGAUAUUUUCUUCAUUGUUAAGAAGUGCUCGUGGGGAUUGCUCUCUUUGAUAUUCGUAACUUCAAUGAUACAAGUUAUUCAUAUCAAGUCUUCGAGAUUUCUUACAAUCUCAUGAAGUUUCAAGGUGACAAGGCAGCUCUUCUCCCGUCUUCUUGUUUUUAACUAAAACUCAAAACUCCACUUAUACUGUAUGGAAAAAGCAUACAAAACCUUCAAAAUAAAAUAAAUAAGCAGAAAAGGCAAGAAAACAACUGGAAGACUCUUGGGUUUUCGAGCUGCUGGCUAGAACAAGCAAAUUGUUGAUUACAGGCCAUGCAUGUCAUGAUUUUACACUUGGGCUUCUGAUAUUUCAGGGGCUUCACAACCUCCCUUGUAAAGUCAGGGUCAUCCCUUCCAAAGUGACCAUAAGCAGCUUGCUGUCCCUCCUCCUUCAUCCCUUGCUACUUGUCAAGUCCUCCGAAUUACUUUAAGAUGCCACAGCAAACAAAGAAGAGAAGGGAUGGUCCAUAAUUGAUUGCUUCCUUCUCAUUUGAAACACAAAGUCCGGAUCAAAGCUUAGAUUCAACUUCAAAAGAAGAAGAAGAAGAAGAAAUCUUCAGUUUCAACAACGCAGAUUAUGAACACUAAGCAAAAUUGGCAAAAGCCUUGGCAAAAUUCAAGAGCAGGAACAGCAGCACUGCUCUGGCUCUCUGAAACUUGGGGGCAACAUGCCAAAUACACUUAACCACUUUCAAAAUCUUUGUCCCGCCACUCCUCGGUGCAUAAUCCAUCUGUCUUUUGUUUCUCCAGAUUCUCCGAAACUUGGUAAAAAAAAGUUUGAUCAUGUGCUUGAUUUGAAGCGGAAUAUUGGUGAACCUUCAAGCUGCCCGCGGUGGCAAUGUUUCUCCGGUGACUGUAUUGUUUCUGUUCUUGAUGGAAUUGUCACUGCUCGGGUUUAGGAGCUGGAAACAGGAGAGAUUCGCCAACUGAAAUUGGCGGGAAAAGACGUCAUUAACAAACUAAAUCGAAAAAGAGAGAAAUGCGGUGAGCGUGGAUCGAACACGCGACCUUCAGAUCUUCAGUCUGACGCUCUCCCAACUGAGCUAUCCCCGCCUGUUUGUUGCUUCUUUUCUGUUAAGCAUUAUGAAGCAAUAAACUUAUUCUAUAACACAUGCAUUUUGCGAGGACAUCUGUGCAUCAUUUCUGCUUUCCGUGCUUUUGCGGUUGUUACUGGGAAAGAAUUUCACAUUAGAUUGAAUUUUCUGGUAAGUUGAAAUCUCAACUUGGCUUAUUAUUGUGGCAAUUACCAGUUAUAUAUUUCAUGUUUAAGAAAUUAGGAUGCCUGUGAUGAAGUUUACGUUAGUUUUGGGGCUGGAAUUUAUUGUAGGAAACCUGUGAUGGAAAUGAAGCAAAUCCUAGACGCUGGUGUGUGUAGCAGCUGCACUUCUUAUACCUGAAGCCAUUGGCUUUCACAAAGAAAAGAGACGUCAUGAUGAUAGAAAACCAUGGAAACACUACAAUAUUUAAUAAUUUUAUUGACAUAAUUUUAUUUUUAUUAAUGUGAGAUUAGCACUUUGUCCGCGAAAAUUUCACCUACUAAUUCAUCGACAAAAUGUGUCUACAAGUAAUUUCAUUAUGUGUCGUUAAUUUUUUUGGUAAAAAAAAUUAAAAACUGAUGGUUUUAUAAAUGAAAAAUGCACGAAAAAAAAACAAUUCUUGCUGGAAAUACACGGAUGAAAUAAAUCUCUUAGGAUAUUUUAUAAAACAUUUCUAGGAAACUGCUUUUUUGUUUUCUUUCCAGUUUGCUUACAAGCCUUAACUUCAAUGGUCGUAAUGGUCGUGGUGCUAGACUGCUAGUAAUCUCAUUACUGAAACCUAACUCUGCCUUUAUUUCAUUACUGAAACUAUAAUCACUAACAACAUGUGUCUCUUUCAAAAAAAGAUAAAAAAAAGAUAACGUGUUCUGCAAAAGCCAAUUGAAGUAGGGAUGAGCUAGUGUAUCAAUUACUAUCCAUUCUUUAGGCAUCUUCCAAACACAUCCAUAGAAUUCUUCGUGCUCGCUUCAUCAUCUCGAAAAAUAAAGUUUUAAGCCAAGAUUGAAUUUUUAAAAUUUAGAGUGAGUAGUUACCUAUUAGAUAAAAAAGAAAAGGGAUUAAAAUGAACUUUUCAAAAAAAAAUUCAAAGUCAUUACCUAUGUAUUUUACAUGUUUUUUUUACUUUUGUCACCUGUCUCUCAAUUCCACUCUCUUCAAAAAUAAAAUAAAAUAUGCAAUUGGAUGUUAACUGAUGCUAAAAAAUAAAUUCAAUAACCAAUUUUGUUUUUUUUAAUCACCGUUGAAAUCUACAGUGGCAAUGAAUAUAAAAAGUAACUGUUGAUCUAGGUUUUGAUUUUCCGCUUGAUGGACUACAGGCCCUGCUUCUUCAGAAGAAACCCAAUUCUAAAUCAAUAUUAAUCGCAUCGGAAAAUCCCAUCCUUCUACUUUCGGCGUUUCUUAUUCACCAUGGCAUCCAGUCCAAUGGGAUUUUAAAACUCAAUUUUCAUUUUCACCUGCAAAACUUAAAAAAAAAAUAUCAUAAAACCUCAUAAAGUCUAUUUUCAAACAAAAACACCAUUUAAUCAUUUAAAACUCUAAAAUCCAUGAUCAGAAAUAACUUUAUAAAAAUUAAAUUGAAAUAAAUUACAAAAUUAAUUACUAAUUAGAGAAUGAAAUUCAAAAAACAAACAAAACCAAGAAGAAUGAUUCUUUUUUUAAAAUAAAACAAAUCACGUUCAGAUGUACACAAUUAGCACUAUCAAAAUUCAAAACAGGAGACACAUAAAAAAAAAAAGCACUUUGGUCAAUAUUGAUGGCUGGGUAAACAUACGUCUCAAAUUUGGGAACCUGAACCGUUGCAUUCUUUCUUCCCUUCCAGCCUCCAGGUACCCUGCCGUUUCACUCCAUUCCCACCGGAAACUUCUAUCUUUCUCAUAUUCCAGUUUAGUUUCGGCAUUUUUUAUUCACCAAUCAGUCCAACAGGUUUGUUCUCACUUAUCAAUCUGUUGAUGCUUCUCCUCUCUAGAAAAGAUUUUUAAUUGACAAACUUAUCAUUUAUCUAAUUAUAUGGUACAUAAUUUUUUUGAUUUACAUUUAAGAUUUUUUUUAUGUACAAAAUAUAUUGAAAAAUUCUAUAUGUUUAAUUUUUUUCUAUUAUGUAUGGAUAUUUUCAAUUUGAUUUUAAUUUCUAUAAAACAAAUAAAAAUUAUUAAUUAAAAAAAUCAAAAUAAAAAAAAUAAAACUAAACACUGGUGAACUUGAUAAGUCAAGCUAUGUGCCUGACACAUUAAGAAAAGACUCACGCGUAAAUGAAGAAAAGACUCACGCGUGGACCGGAAAGGUCAGGGACGCAUGAGUGUGGGCUCUCUUUUCUACAAAACGACGCUUUGUUGAUGGUGCUGCAGCAGCAAGAGAGGCAUAUAACCAAGGAGAAGUGGGGUGCUGACUGGUUGGUUGGUCAUUGACAGCUGGAGUUCAUUAUUUUGAUCCAUCACCAAAAAGAUUUUCGUCGGUGAAAAUGCAAAUGGAGAAGUUUUUAUUUUCGUAUCUGUCAUUCUAUGAUUAUGUCUUUUGAUAAAACAAAGUUUAAGGGCUACCUAAAAAAACAGAACAUGUGCAUCUAGAUUUGGUGGAUAGGUCACUCUAUUUAUUUUACGAUUUAAAAAUAUUUAUUUUAUUUAUUUAAUUUUAAAUUAAUAUUUUUUUAAUGUUUUUAGAUCAUUUUGAUAAACUGAUAUUAAAAAUAUUUCUUUUUUAAAUAAAUAUUUCCAAAUAAAAAAUAUUAUACUCACACUCUUGAACAUAAAAAAAAACCUACUCACAUGUUUAAAUUUUUUUUAAUAAAAAAAUGAAUACACAACGCUUUAUCUUUCCGUGUAAAUUCCACCCCCUCGAGUUAUUAAAAGUUGGAGUUUGAUUUUUAGGAUUUUAAAAGUUAAUUUUCAAUUUAUUUUUAUUUAAAAAACUUUAAAAAUAUUAUAGAAAAUUUUAAAAGAAAAAUAUUAUUUAAAGUGUAUUUGAGAUUGUCGUUAUAGUUGUUUUUAAAGUGUUUUUUAUUCAAAAAUAUAUCAAAAUAAUAUUUUUUUUAUUUUUUAAAAAUUAUUUUUAGUAUCAACGAAACAAAAUAAUCUAAAAAUAUUAUAAAAUAUUAAUUUAAAAUAAAAAAAUUUAAAUUUUGUCAAAAAUAUUUUUAGAACAGAAAAAUAAAUAAGGCUUUAAUCAUUUAAAACUCCAGAAAAUCCACGAUCAACAAAAUUAAUUCCUAAUAAGGGAAUGGCAUUCAAAAAAAUCAAAAAACAAACAUGAAGAAUGAUUUUUUUUUUAUUUUUUUUUUAAAAAAACAAAGCACGUUCAGAUGCACACACUUAGCACAAUCAAAAUUAGUGAACCAUACGUGUCAAAUUUGGCAACCUGAACAAUUUGUAUUCUUUCCUCCCUUCCGGCCUCCAGGUACCCUGAAAAUCCUCCCAACGUUGCCGUUUCACCUAUUCCCAUCGGAAACUUCCCUCUUUCUCAUAUUCCAGUUUAGUUUCGGCAUUUUUUAUUCACCAACCAGUCCAAUGGAUUUGUUCUCACUUAUCAAUCUGUUGAUGCUUCUCCUCUCCAGAAAGGAUAACGAUGUUUUCUUGAGUUUUAGCCACCACGACAUUGGCAAGAAUUUUGGCGAUCAUCUCUACAAGGACCUCAAUUCUGCUGGGAUUCGCACUCUUAGAGAUGAUGGUGGAAUCUACGCAGGACAAAAGUCUGAUAUCAAGAAAGCGUUACAGGAAUCCAGGAUAUCGGUUGUUGUGUUCUCUAAAGGCUAUGCUUCUUCAACAAAGUGCCUCGACC
rnacentral:lncRNA from 1 species